UACGAAGGGGGGCUAGCGUUGCUCGGAAUCACUGGGCGUAAAGGGCGCGUAGGCGGCCAUUCAAGUCAGAGGUGAAAGCCCAAGGCUCAACCUUGGAAUUGCCUUUGAUACUGUUUGGCUUGAGACCGGAAGAGGUUAGUGGAACUGCGAGUGUAGAGGUGAAAUUCGUAGAUAUUCGCAAGAACACCAGUGGCGAAGGCGGCUCACUGGCCCGAUACUGACGCUGAGGCACGAAAGCGUGGGGAGCAAACAGGG
rnacentral:rRNA from 1 species